UACGGAGGGGGGCUAGCGUUGUUCGGAAUUACUGGGCGUAAAGCGCACGUAGGCGGCUUUGCAAGUUAGAGGUGAAAGCCCCGGGGCUCAACUCCGGAAUUGCCUUUAAAAACUGCAUCGCUAGAGUUGUGGAGAGGUAAGUGGAAUUCCGAGUGUAGAGGUGAAAUUCGUAGAUAUUCGGAAGAACACCAGUGGCGAAGGCGACUUACUGGACACAUACUGACGCUGAGGUGCGAAAGCGUGGGGAGCAAACAGG
rnacentral:rRNA from 1 species